CCCCCACAGUGUGUCACUAACCUUCAGCCCCCACAGUGUGUCACUAACACCACCCCACAGUGCGUCACUAACACCACCCCACAGUGUGUCACUAACACCACCCCACAGUGUGUCACUAACACCACCCCACAGUGUGUCACUAACUUCAGCCCCCACAGUGUGUCACUAACUUCAGCCCCCACACUGUGUCACUAACUUCAGCCCCACAGUGUGUCACUAACACCACCCCACAGUGUGUCACUAACACCACCCCACAGUGUGUCACUAACACCACCCCACAGUGUGUCACUAACACCACCCCACAGUGUGUCACUAACUUCAGCCCCCACAGUGUGUCACUAACUU